CAGCCACCCUAAAAAAAAUCAAACUCUAAAUAUUCAUUUUCCCUUUCCCUCUUCCCUCUUUCCUUCUUUUUCCCUCUUCUCUUUUCUUGUCCAUGUGCGACUGCUUCUUCCAGCCACCGUCGACGCUGAAGUCCACAAGCCACCUGCACGUGUCUCCUCCAUCUAUCCUCUUGGAGUAAAUCGAAGGGGGAUCUUGAUAAAUGGGCAAUUUCUAGGGCCUCAGUUUGAGUCGGUUACCAAUGUCAACUUGAUUGUUAGUGUCUUCAAUGCCUUGGACGAACCCUUUCUCAUCUCAUGGCAGACCAGAACCAACAGCUGGAGGCCCAAUGACUUCACAGUGGAUGCACUAUUAUUCACUUUCUGUUUCAAGCGCUUCUCAUUUGAACUUCCAUAACGAAUUUGAUGACGACUUUAGAUGGGUUUCUUGAAGUCUUGAAAAGGAUCCCAAGAUAGGUUUUGAAUGGUCCACAGGCAUGAAAUCGGUAUAGUUUUUCUUGUGAAGGAUUGAUUUAACAACAUAUCCAAAUUCAUAUAUCCACUAUGCGUCUCUCAAGCCCGGAAGUUGGGGCCGCAGGAUGCUUCUUCACCUCUUUUCACCUUAUAUUAGUAAGAAAUUUUUAACAAUUUGUACUCGAUGUGUUAAAGGCUUGGAACUUUUUUGUGAUAGAAAUUAGUAAGGAAAG